CGGGUUGAACAGAAAACAAUAAAGCUUACACAGAUUAAUCUGUGUAAGCUUUCUUGUUAUUUCUCUCUCAAAAAAGAUUCCAGAUUCAAAUUUCAGCAGUUUUAAACUUCUUACUAGCACAGUCUUUAUUCUAGACUGACACACGUCCCCUUUCAAUACCCUCACGCUGUGUAAUGGUUUGACUCUAGCCACACCAUUUUCAGGCUCUUCUUGCAUCUCU